rnacentral:rRNA from 1 species
UCAAUGAAAUUUUCAAUAGCCGCAAUAUAUUUGUGCUAAGGUAGCAUAAUCAUUUGUCUUUUAAUUAAAGGCUAGAACAAAAGAUUCAACAUUUUAAUUUCUUUCUUAAUAAUAAAUACUUAACUUAUUCUAAAUAUAAAAAAAUAUUUAUAAUUUAAAAAGACGACAAGACCCUAUUGAACUUUACUAAAGUUUAACUGGGGCAGUUAAUUAAAUAUAAUUUUAAUUUACAAUCUACAAAUCACCUAAUACAAUUAAAUAUAUCAAGUUACCAUAGGGAUAACAGCGUAAUAAUUUUCCAUAGAUCUUAUUUAAAAAAUAAUUUGCGACCUCGAUGUUGAAUUAAUAAUCUAUUAAAUGCAAUAAUUAAUAAGAAAGUC